AACCUGGAUUGCAGCUCUAAUUUGAUCAAACAACGGGUGUUGACGAAGAACCGCCAAUCGACUAGGAUCGGAACCAGCCCCAAGAGUAGAUGCGUGCAUAGCUGGGGUAUAAUCAAACUGAGUUGCAGCAGAUUCAGCGCGAUUAGGAUCAUUGAAUGCCGCCCGUAAUGCAUCUUGUGCAGCCGUUUUCUCGAAGCCCAUACUGCAUAAACUCUCAACCAACUAAAAUUUAGGCGAUGCAACAAAUUUUGAUAACAUAGUGUGUGUUUGUAUGGUAAAUUAAUGUGUAAAUUACAUUAAUAUCCGACGAUAAAGAAGUAUCCUCUUGUUUUUCUGAUGCAGUUAGCUCUUCAGGAUCUUGAGAGAACAAGUUAAUUGAGUUAUCUGUCGCUUGGAGGUCUGUAGAAAUCUUGUCGUCUUUCAAAUCUUUUGCCGCAUCGUUCGAACUUGUACAUUUGUCUUUUGAAGCCAAAGUGGUGGAAACUGGUUUUUUUUUCUAAAAGAAAACAUUUACAUAAACAAGUUUAAGGAUAAAAAAAAACGUACUUUAGAGAUCAUAGCAA